GACGAACGCUGGCGGCGUGCUUAACACAUGCAAGUCGAACGGUAAGGCCCUUCGGGGUACACGAGUGGCGAACGGGUGAGUAACACGUGGGUGAUCUGCCCUGCACUUCGGGAUAAGCCUGGGAAACUGGGUCUAAUACCGGAUAGGACCACUGCCUGCAUGGGUGGUGGUGGAAAGCUUUUGCGGUGUGGGAUGGGCCCGCGGCCUAUCAGCUUGUUGGUGGGGUGAUGACCUACCAAGGCGACGACGGGUAGCCGGCCUGAGAGGGUGACCGGGGACACUGGGACUGAGGUACGGCCCAGACGCCGACGGGAGACAGCAGUGGGGAAUAUUGCACAAUGGGCGCAAGGCUGAUGCAGCGACGCCGCGUGAGGGAUGACGGCCUUCGGGUUGUAAACCUCUUUCAGCACCGACGAAGCGCAAGUGACGGUAGGUGCAGAAGAAGGACCGGCCAACUACGUGCCAGCCGCCGCCGUAA
rnacentral:rRNA from 1 species